rnacentral:rRNA from 1 species
GACGAACGCUGGCGGCGUGCCUAAUACAUGCAAGUCGAACGAGAGCAACCGGUGCUUGCACUGGUCAAUCUAGUGGCGAACGGGUGAGUAACACGUGGGUAACCUGCCCAUCAGAGGGGGAUAACAUCCGGAAACGGAUGCUAAAACCGCAUAGGUCUUCGAACCGCAUGGUUUGAAGAGGAAAAGAGGCGCAAGCUUCUGCUGAUGGAUGGACCCGCGGUGCAUUAGCUAGUUGGUGAGGUAACGGCUCACCAAGGCCGUGAUGCAUAGCCGACCUGAGAGGAUGAUCGGCCACAUUGGGACUGAGACACGGCCCAAACUCCUACGGGAGGCAGCAGUAGGGAAUCUUCCGCAAUGGACGCAAGUCUGACGGAGCAACGCCGCGUGAGUGAAGAAGGUUUUCGGAUCGUAAAACUCUGUUGUUAGAGAAGAACAAGUGCUAGAGUAACUGUUAGCGCCUUGACGGUAUCUAACCAGAAAGCCACGGCUAACUACGUG